UACGAAGGGGGCUAGCGUUGUUCGGAAUUACUGGGCGUAAAGCGCGUGUAGGCGGGUCUUUAAGUCAGGGGUGAAAUGCCAAGGCUCAACCUUGGAACUGCCUUUGAUACUGGAGAUCUUGAGUCCGGGAGAGGUGAGUGGAACUGCGAGUGUAGAGGUGAAAUUCGUAGAUAUUCGCAAGAACACCAGUGGCGAAGGCGGCUCACUGGCC
rnacentral:rRNA from 1 species